rnacentral:rRNA from 1 species
ACGGCUCAGUAACACGUCGAUAAUCUGACCUUGAGUCGGGGAUAACCUUGGGAAACUGAGGAUAAUACCUGAUAGGGAAUUUUGUCUGGAAUGAUUUAUUCCCCAAAGAUUACGCUCAAGGAUGAGUCGGCGGCGGAUUAGGCUGUUGGCGGGGUAAAGGCCCACCAAACCGACGAUCCGUAGGGGCCCUGAGAGGGGUAGCCCCGAGAAGGACACUGAGAUAAUGGUCCUAGCCCCACGGGGUGCAGCAGGCGCGAAACCUUUACAAUGCACGAAAGUGUGAUAAGGGAAUCCCUAGUGCCUAUACUAAGUAUAGGCUUUUGCCAAAGGUAAAUACUUUGGAGAAUAAGUGGUGGGCAAGACUGGUGCCAGCCGCCGCGGUAAUACCAGCGCCACGAGUGGGGAUCAUAUUUAUUGGGCCUAAAGCGUCCGUAGCUGGUUAGAUAAAUCUUUUGUGAAAUCGUGGAGCUUAACUUCACGGCGUGCAGGAGACACUAUUUAACUUGAGACCGGGAGAAGUAAGAGGUAUUCUGGGGGGAGCGGUAAAAUGCUAUAAUCCUCAGAGGACCACCGAUAGCGAAGGCAUCUUACUAGAACGGAUUUGACAGUGAGGGACGAAAGCCAGGGGAGCGAACCGGAUUAGAUACCCGAGUAGUCCUGGCAGUAAACGCUGUGAGCUAGGUGUUGCAUAUCCUUCGUGGAUUUGCAGUAUCGUAGAGAAGUCGUUAAGCUCACCGCCUGGGAAGUAUAGUCGCAAGGCCGAAACUUAAAGGAAUUGGCGGGGGAGCAC